rnacentral:rRNA from 1 species
UACGAAGGGGGCUAGCGUUGUUCGGAAUCACUGGGCGUAAAGCGCACGUAGGCGGAUUUUUAAGUCAGGGGUGAAAUCCCGAGGCUCAACCUCGGAACUGCCUUUGAUACUGGAGAUCUUGAGUCCGGAAGAGGUAAGUGGAACUGCGAGUGUAGAGGUGAAAUUCGUAGAUAUUCGCAAGAACACCAGUGGCGAAGGCGGCUCACUGGCCCGAUACUGACGCUGAGGCACGAAAGCGUGGGGAGCAAACAGG